rnacentral:rRNA from 1 species
GAUGAACGCUGGCGGCGUGCCUAAUACACGCAAGUCGAACGCACGAAGUUGAAGAGCUUGCUCUUUAACCAAGUGGGUGGCGGACGGGUGAGUAACACGUGGGUAACCUACCCAUUAGAGGGGGAUAACAUUCGGAAACGGAUGCUAAUACCGCAUAGUUUCAGGAAUCGCAUGAUUCGUGAAGGAAAGGUGGCUUCGGCUACCACUAAUGGAUGGACCCGCGGCGUAUUAGCUAGUUGGUGAGGUAAUGGCUCACCAAGGCAAUGAUACGUAGCCGACCUGAGAGGGUGAUCGGCCACACUGGGACUGAGACACGGCCCAGACUCCUACGGGAGGCAGCAGUAGGGAAUCUUCCGCAAUGGGCGAAAGUCUGACGGAGCAACGCCGCGUGAGUGAAGAAGGUUUUCGGAUCGUAAAACUCUGUUGUUAAAGAAGAACAAGGAUGAGAGUAACUGCUCAUCCCCUGACGGUAUUUAACCAGAAAGCCACGGCUAACUACGUGCCAGCAGCCGCGGUAAUACGUAGGUGGCAAGCGUUGUCCGGAUUUAUUGGGCGUAAAGCGAGCGCAGGCGGUUCUUUAAGUCUGAUGUGAAAGCCCCCGGCUCAACCGGGGAGGGUCAUUGGAAACUGGAGAACUUGAGUGCAGAAGAGGAGAGUGGAAUUCCACGUGUAGCGGUGAAAUGCGUAGAUAUGUGGAGGAACACCAGUGGCGAAGGCGACUCUCUGGUCUGUAACUGACGCUGAGGCUCGAAAGCGUGGGGAGCAAACAGG